GAUGAACGCUGGCGGCGUGCCUAAUACAUGCAAGUCGAGCGAAGCGGGGACGGGUGAGUAACACGUGGAUACCUUUCUUUAAGACUGGGAUCACUUCGCGAAACCUGAUCUAAACCGGUUACUUAUUGAUGGAUCCGGGCUGCAUUAGCUAGUUGGUAAGGUAACGGCUUACCAAGGCGACGAUGCAUAGCCGACCUGAGAGGAUGAUCGGCAACACGGGAACUGAGACACGGUCCAGACGCAUACGGGAGGCAGCAGUAGGGAAUCUUCGGAAAUGGGCGAAAGCCUGACGGAGCAAUGCCGCGUGAGUGAUGAAGGUCUUCGGAUCGUAAAACUCUGUAAUUAGGGAAGCGGUACCAAAACAGAAAGCCACGGCUAACUACGUGCCAGCAGCCGCGGUAAUAC
rnacentral:rRNA from 1 species